rnacentral:rRNA from 1 species
UACGUAGGGUGCGAGCGUUGUCCGGAAUUAUUGGGCGUAAAGAGCUCGUAGGCGGUGUGUCACGUCGGCCGUGAAAACCUGCAGCUUAACUGUGGGCGUGCGGUCGAUACGGGCAUCACUGGAGUUCGGCAGGGGAGACUGGAAUUCCUGGCGUAGCGGUGAAAUGCGCAGAUAUCAGGAGGAACACCGGUGGCGAAGGCGGAUCUCUGGGCCAUUACUGACGCUGAGGAGCGAAAGCGUGGGGAGCGAACAGG